GGGGGAAUAGCUCAGGUGGUAGAGUAUCGGUUUCUUACUCAAAGGUCGUGGGUUCAAUCCCCGGCGUCCCCG